rnacentral:rRNA from 1 species
GACGAACGCUGGCGGCGUGCUUAACACAUGCAAGUCGAGCGGGGAGUUAGCCUUCGGGCUGACUUCUAGCGGCGGACGGGUGAGUAACGCGUGAGCAACCUUUCUCUCAGUGGGGAAUAACACAGGGAAACUUGUACUAAUACCGCAUAACGCGUAGAGGUCGCAUGGCCUUUACGCCAAAGAUUUAUCGCCGAAAGAUGGCCUCGCGUCUGAUUAGCUAGUUGGUGAGGUAACGGCCCACCAAGGCGACGAUCAGUAGCCGGACUGAGAGGUUGAACGGCCACAUUGGGACUGAGAUACGGCCCAGACUCCUACGGGAGGCAGCAGUGGGGAAUAUUGGGCAAUGGGGGAAACCCUGACCCAGCAACGCCGCGUGAAGGAAGAAGGCCUUCGGGUUGUAAACUUCUUUUACCAGGGACGAAGAACGUGACGGUACCUGGAGAAAAAGCAACGGCUAACUACGUG